CAGUAGCCGCGGGAAUACAGAGGGUGCGAGCGUUAAUCGGAUUUACUGGGCGUAAAGCGUGCGUAGGCGGCUUCUUAAGUCGGAUGUGAAAUCCCUGAGCUUAACUUAGGAAUUGCAUUCGAUACUGGGAAGAUAGAGUAUGGGAGAGGAUGGUAGAAUUCCAGGUGUAGCGGUGAAAUGCGUAGAGAUCUGGAGGAAUACCGAUGGCGAAGGCAGCCAUCUGGCCUAAUACUGACGCUGAGGUACGAAAGCAUGGGGAGCAAACAGGAUUAGAUACCCGAGUAGUCCCUGUCUCUUAUAC
rnacentral:rRNA from 1 species